rnacentral:rRNA from 1 species
GUGGGGAAUAUUGGGCAAUGGAGGCAACUCUGACCCAGCCAUGCCGCGUGCAGGAUGACGGCCCUCUGGGUUGUAAACUGCUUUUAUACGGGAAGAAAAAAUACUACGUGUAGUAUACUGACGGUACCGUAAGAAUAAGGAUCGGCUAACUCCGUGCCAGCAGCCGCGGUAAUACGGAGGAUCCAAGCGUUGUCCGGAUUUAUUGGGUUUAAAGGGUGCGUAGGCGGAUCUUUAAGUCAGUGGUGAAAGCCUGCAGCUUAACUGUAGAAUUGCCAUUGAAACUGAAGAUCUUGAAUGUGGUUAAAGUAGGCGGAAUGUAUCAUGUAGCGGUGAAAUGCUUAGAUAUGAUACAGAACACCGAUAGCGAAGGCAGCUUGCUGAACCAUUAUUGACGCUGAGGCACGAAAGCGUGGGGAGCGAACAGGAUUAGAAACCCUAGUAGUCC